GCCCAAGAGAUCGGGAUAACACCUGGAAACAGAUGCUAAUACCGGAUAACAACAGAUGAUGCCUAUCAACUGUUUAAAAGAUGGUUCUGCUAUCACUCUUGGAUGGACCUGCGGUGCAUUAGCUAGUUGGUAGGGUAACGGCCUACCAAGGCGAUGAUGCAUAGCCGAGUUGAGAGACUGAUCGGCCACAUUGGGACUGAGAUACGGCCCAGACUCCUACGGGAGGCAGCAGUU
rnacentral:rRNA from 1 species